rnacentral:rRNA from 1 species
AUUGAACGCUGGCGGCAGGCCUAACACAUGCAAGUCGAGCGGAUGAAGGGAGCUUGCUCCUGGAUUCAGCGGCGGACGGGUGAGUAAUGCCUAGGAAUCUGCCUGGUAGUGGGGGAUAACGUCCGGAAACGGGCGCUAAUACCGCAUACGUCCUGAGGGAGAAAGUGGGGGAUCUUCGGACCUCACGCUAUCAGAUGAGCCUAGGUCGGAUUAGCUAGUUGGUGGGGUAAAGGCCUACCAAGGCGACGAUCCGUAACUGGCCUGAGAGGAUGAUCAGUCACACUGGAACUGAGACACGGUCCAGACUCCUACGGGAGGCAGCAGUGGGGAAUAUUGGACGAUGGGCGAAAGCCUGAUCCAGCCAUGCCGCGUGUGUGAAGAAGGUCUUCGGAUUGUAAAGCACUUUAAGUUGGGAGGAAGGGCAGUAAGUUAAUACCUUGCUGUUUUGACGUUACCAACAGAAUAAGCACCGGCUAACUUCGUG